AGAGUUUGAUCAUGGCUCAGGACGAACGCUGGCGGCGUGCUUAACACAUGCAAGUCGAACGAUGAAGCCCUUCGGGGUGGAUUAGUGGCGAACGGGUGAGUAACACGUGGGCAAUCUGCCCUUCACUCUGGGACAAGCCCUGGAAACGGGGUCUAAUACCGGAUAACACCUGCCCGGGCAUCUGGGUGGGUUAAAAGCUCCGGCGGUGAAGGAUGAGCCCGCGGCCUAUCAGCUUGUUGGUGAGGUAGUGGCUCACCAAGGCGACGACGGGUAGCCGGCCUGAGAGGGCGACCGGCCACACUGGGACUGAGACACGGCCCAGACUCCUACGGGAGGCAGCAGUGGGGAAUAUUGCACAAUGGGCGAAAGCCUGAUGCAGCGACGCCGCGUGAGGGAUGACGGCCUUCGGGUUGUAAACCUCUUUCAGCAGGGAAGAAGCGAGAGUGACGGUACCUGCAGAAGAAGCGCCGGCUAACUACGUGCCAGCAGCCGCGGUA
rnacentral:rRNA from 1 species